rnacentral:rRNA from 1 species
UACAGAGGGGGGCAAGCGUUGUUCGGAAUUACUGGGCGUAAAGGGCGCGUAGGCGGCCUGCUAAGUCGAACGUGAAAUCCCCCGAGCUCAACUCGGGAACUGCGUCCGAUACUGGCAGGCUUGAAUCCGGGAGAGGGAUGCGGAAUUCCAGGUGUAGCGGUGAAAUGCGUAGAUAUCUGGAGGAACACCGGUGGCGAAGGCGGCAUCCUGGACCGGCAUUGACGCUGAGGCGCGAAAGCCAGGGGAGCAAACGGG